rnacentral:lncRNA from 1 species
AACAACAAUAUUUUUCCAGAGGAAAGGAAAGGAAAGGAAAAGGGAAUUGCAAAGGGGGCUAUUUUUCUUUCCUUUUCAUUCAUCAUCUCCAUAUAUUGAGGAAGAAAAAAGAAAAGAAAAGAAAAAUAGGGAGAUUGAUUUCAUAAUAUAUAUACCCCUUAUUAUUAUAUACUCCCCCAUUUUCAUUUCUAAACCCUUUCCCUUCCAUUCUUCUCUUUAUUUUCCAUCUCAUUUCCUGAAUUUGCAUUACACAUUGUGGAGAAGGUACCAAAGAAUGAUAGACCAAAGGCCACGCCUUUAAAGGAGAUUUUUGGGUGCACAUUUGCAUGCAUAAUGAGUCGCAUUGUGGGUAAUUGUAGGAGAAAAAUAUCAUUGGUUUUUAUGAGGCAGUGAAUUUGAAGGGAAAAAUUAGAGUCUUGAUUGAUCUCCAUUGUGUUUGUUGAAAAUG